AAGGGUAUGGCUGUUCGCCAUUUAAAGUGGUACGCGAGCUGGGUUUAGAACGUCGUGAGACAGUUCGGUCCCUAUCUGCCGUGGACGUUUGAGAUUUGAGAGGGGCUGCUCCUAGUACGAGAGGACCGGAGUGGACGAACCUCUGGUGUUCCGGUUGUCACGCCAGUGGCACUGCCGGGUAGCUAUGUUCGGAAGAGAUAACCGCUGAAAGCAUCUAAGCGGGAAACUUGCCUCAAGAUGAGAUCUCACUGGAGCCUCGAGCUCCCUGAAGGGCCGUCGAAGACUACGACGUUGAUAGGUGGGGUGUGUAAGCGUUGUGAGGCGUUGAGCUAACCCAUACUAAUUGCCCGUGAGGCUUGACCAUAUAACACCCAAACAAUU
rnacentral:rRNA from 1 species